AUAUUUUGAAUUAAGUAUAUUCAUAAUAUGUUAUCAGACGAAUGUUGUUAAAGAUAUAGGUUGAUAUUUGUGAAGGGAAAGAGUUGCCUCUCUCCCAACAAACAUUGCACACAAGGUGGAUAUGGAUUUAAAAAGUGCCAUAAAACACUUAUUAUGAAUGAUCCUUCCGCAGGUUCACCUACGGAAA
rnacentral:misc_RNA from 1 species